UACGUAGGGUGCAAGCGUUGUCCGGAAUUAUUGGGCGUAAAGAGCUCGUAGGCGGCUUGUCACGUCGACUGUGAAAACCCGGGGCUUAACUUCGGGCUUGCAGUCGAUACGGGCUGGCUAGAGUACGGUAGGGGAGACUGGAAUUCCUGGUGUAGCGGUGAAAUGCGCAGAUAUCAGGAGGAACACCAGUGGCGUAAGCGAUCACCUGGGCUAGACAUGACGCUGAGGGACGAAGGCGUGGGGAGCAAACGGG
rnacentral:rRNA from 1 species